AACCUCGAAGAGAAAAAUUUGUAAGGAAUAAGGACGGCAUAUUUUCCUUUUUUGACAAAAUCAGGACUUAAAUUAAAAUGUAGAAUGGCAAGGCAAACAGGAGAAAAAAGAGACGAAAAAGGAUAAAAAGAAAAGGGGGCAAAAGAAAAAAAAGAAGAAGAUUGACUCAUAUUAUCUAAAAAGAUUUGUUUUAAUCUUUACCAUUAAUAUUCCUAUCAAUUUCAUUCAGACCAAACAGGGCAUGUCUAGUAUACUAGGAUAUGCAAGUUCACAGGAGUUGGUGAGUAUGGCGACUGAAUCAGAUUCUUCCCCCAACGACAAUUCCCAAAAUCAGGCAACCGCUUCUCAACCAGCUGCUAAAGAUAAUCUUGAUUACAAGCCUGAGGCUGCAAGAGGGGACUCUCCAACUUCUGUAUUUGUAAACUCGGAACCAGUUCGGGAGGAUCAAGUCCAAAAUGCUGUCAAGUUUCUUUCACAUCCAAGAGUUAGGGGAUCUCCAGUCAUGUAUAGGCGUUCUUUCCUUGAGAGGAAGGGGCUCACAAAGGAGGAGAUAGAUGAAGCAUUUCGUCGAGUUCCGGAUUCUUCUCCAAGUGUUUCUAGCACACAGCCAGUAGCUGCAAAUGAAGAUGAGAAAGUGAAAUCUUCGUCGACUACUCAAACACUGGCUGCAUCGCAGAAUCUCCUGCCUGCAUCAGCUUUACAUAGUAAUACCAUGACAAAAAUGGGAUAUUUCUCUCAUUUCCACUGGACUCAUGCGGUAAUGGCUGUAGGUAUACUUGCUGCUUCAGGAGCUGGUACAGCUUUACUUUUCAAGCACACGAUUAUACCCCGGUUUAAGUCUUGGAUUCGCAAGGUUGUAAUGGAAGAAGAAGAUGAAAAAGGCGCUGUGAAGGGAAGACCAAGUUUAGCAGAAGAAGCGGCUCUUGCUGCAAAAGCAGCUGCAGCAGCUGCUGCUGAUGUGGCCCGUGCAAGUCAGGAGAUGCUGGCAUCUAAAACUGAAGAGAAAAGGUACUUUGAGGAGCUAACAAACCUGUUAAACUACCAAGUUCGAGAGAUGAAAUCAAUGAGCAGUGCCUUACAAAAUCUGGAAGGGAAAAGUAGCACUACUGGAAGAAUACCAGCCAUGCAACAAGAUGAUCGAAGAAUUUCGGUUUCCCAUUCUAGGCAAUCCUAUGCAAGUGGAGAACUCGAUGUUGAUGCACGUUCAGUGAGAUCUUUGUCACCACCUGCAUCUGUGGAACCAUCUGUUGCACCCCACCCAAAAUCUUAUAUGGACAUCAUGGCUAUGAUUCAAAGAGGAGAAAAGCCCUCGAACAUCCGAGAUAUAAAUGACCAGCCACCAAAUCCUAACCAGCCUGUACCAGAGCCUCGUGUUGGUCCAAAGCCUAAGCCUUGGGAAAUUGGCCAAAGUCAAAACAGUUCAGGGAAUCUUCUCCAAUCUCAAGGGAGUGGCGAUGGCUUGAAUUAUGGGUAUCAAAACAAUCCGACGAAUAGAGACAGUUCAACGCCAUGGUGGCAACGCAAGAAUGCCAGAAUAACAGAAAUUGAAGCUGUGAACGAACAGAAGUUUGGAUCUACUGCUCCACCAGCCGAGGCACGACCAGUUCAGCGAUCCUGGGUUCCUCCCCAGCCACCUCCAGUUGCAAUGGCAGAAGCAGCUGCAGCCAUCCGACAGACAACCUAAAAAGACUUUGUUUCAGAAAGAAAAGCUGGCCGAUAAUGAGCUGAUAUCUCGUUCCUCAGAAAUAUCAGAUGACUUGCAGAGGAUUACAAAAGUCUCCGAAUCAGGUGGUCUCACUGAAGUUAAUGGUUCAAGUUCUGGACAACAGUUGAGUGAGGCACCUAUUACAAAUGGUGACUCUAUCUUGAGCAGCUGAAGUAUCUUUUCUUGUACCUAAGGUUUGGUUAUUUGGUCUUGAGGUUUAUCACAAUCUUGUAAGUACAUUUUAUCGAUGAACUCAAGAUUCUCAUGCUUCCAUUGUGCUUCUAGGUUGAAAUUUAGAAGUCUACUUCUUAGCUUGCUCUUAUGUGAGAAGAUCAUCUUGUUGUACCAAAAGUUUAUUUGCAACAACCACCACUCACCCACAAAAGAAUAGAGAAAACCCAUUUUGAUUUUUCAUUAAUUGUUUUAAAGGAAACUCAUUUUCAUUAA